rnacentral:tRNA from 1 species
GGGGUUAUGGCUCAGUGGUAGAGCGCUUGCAUGCUUGCCUCACACAUGCAAGACCCUGGGUUCGAACCUCAUCACCACA